AGUGAACGCUGGCGGCGUGCCUAAUACAUGCAAGUCGAACGCGAAAGUCCUUCGGGAUGAGUAAAGUGGCGCACGGGUGAGUAAUGCAUGAGAACAUGCCCUUAGAUGGGGAAUAACGUUUGGAAACGAACGCUAAUACCGCAUAACCUCGAGAGAGUAAAGGUGGCGCCGCAAGGGCUACCGCCUAAGGAUUGGCUCAUGUCCCAUUAGCUAGUUGGCGGGGUAAUGGCCCACCAAGGCAACGAUGGGUAUGUGGUCUGAGAGGAUGAUCACACACACUGGAACUGAGACACGGUCCAGACUCCUACGGGAGGCAGCAGUAGGGAAUAUUGCACAAUGGGGGAAACCCUGAUGCAGCAACGCCGCGUGAGUGAAGAAGGCCCUUGGGUCGUAAAGCUCUUUAGCGAGGGAAGAGGGUAGAUACGGUGAAUAAUCGUGUUUGCUGACGGUACCUCGAGAAUAAGCACCGGCUAAUUUCGUGCCAGCCGCCGCUGUAA
rnacentral:rRNA from 1 species